rnacentral:misc_RNA from 1 species
GUCCUUUCGUGCAUGGUGGUGGGGUACCGCCCGUAUAUUGAGAACUACACAGUGGACGCGAGCAUCUUAGAUUCACCGGUUAUCCGGUGGAUCACAAAGAUCUAUUUAUAGAUCAUUGGUCAAUUCUGUCUCCUCUAGGGGAGGCGAAACGAUUCAAUCUCAUGUGAUUUCAAGAUUCUAAGAGCAAACGGUGGAUGCCUUGGCAUCUGGAGCCGAAGAAGCACGUAUAAAUCUGCGAUAAGCCUCGGGGAGCUGAUAAUAGAGCUGUGAUCCGCGGAUCUCCGAAUGGGGAAACCCCGCCAGGCCCUUUGGGUGACCUGGUGACGCCCGCCUGAAUAUAUAGGGCGGGUAGAGGGAACGUGGGGAAGUGAA